rnacentral:rRNA from 1 species
GAUGGCCUCGCGUCUGAUUAGAUAGUUGGUGAGGUAACGGCCCACCAAGUCGACGAUCAGUAGCCGGACUGAGAGGUUGAACGGCCACAUUGGGACUGAGAUACGGCCCAGACUCCUACGGGAGGCAGCAGUGGGGAAUAUUGGGCAAUGGGGGAAACCCUGACCCAGCAACGCCGCGUGAAGGAAGAAGGCUUUCGGGUUGUAAACUUCUUUUACCAGGGACGAAGGACGUGACGGUACCUGGAGAAAAAGCCACGGCUAACUACGUGCCAGCAGCCGCGGUAAUACGUAGGUGGCAAGCGUUGUCCGGAAUCACUGGGCGUAAAGCGUGCGUAGGCGGUUUCGUAAGUCGUGUGUGAAAGGCGGGGGCUCAACCCCCGGACUGCACAUGAUACUGCGAGACUAGAGUAAUGGAGGGGGAACCGGAAUUCUCGGUGUAGCAGUGAAAUGCGUAGAUAUCGAGAGGAACACUCGUGGCGAAGGCGGGUUCCUGGACAUUAACUGACGCUGAGGCACGAAGGCCAGGGGAGCGAAAGGGAUUAGAUACCCCUGUAGUCCUGGCAGUAAACGGUGCACGCUUGGUGUGCGGGGAAUCGACCCCCUGCGUGCCGGAGCUAACGCGUUAAGCGUGCCGCCUGGGGAGUACGGUCGCAAGAUUAAAACUCAAAGAAAUUGACGGGGACCCGCACAAGCGGUGGAGUAUGUGGCUUAAUUCGAUGCAACGCGAAGAACCUUACCUGGGCUUGACAUGUAAUGAACAACAUGUGAAAGCAUGCGACUCUUCGGAGGCGUUACACAGGUGCUGCAUGGCCGUCGUCAGCUCGUGUCGUGAGAUGUUUGGUUAAGUCCAGCAACGAGCGCAACCCCUGUUGCCAGUUACCAGCACGUAAAGGUGGGGACUCUGGCGAGACUGCCCAGAUCAACUGGGAGGAAGGUGGGGACGACGUCAGGUCAGUAUGGCCCUUAUGCCCAGGGCUGCACACGUACUACAAUGCCCAGUACAGAGGGGGCCGAAGCCGCGAGGCGGAGGAAAUCCUAAAAACUGGGCCCAGUUCGGACUGUAGGCUGCAACCCGCCUACACGAAGCCGGAAUCGCUAGUAAUGGCGCAUCAGCUACGGCGCCGUGAAUACGUUCCCGGGUCUUGCACUCACCGCCCGUCA